rnacentral:rRNA from 1 species
AUUGAACGCUGGCGGCAGGCCUAACACAUGCAAGUCGAGCGGAUGAAGGGAGCUUGCUCCUGGAUUCAGCGGCGGACGGGUGAGUAAUGCCUAGGAAUCUGCCUGGUAGUGGGGGAUAACGUCCGGAAACGGGCGCUAAUACCGCAUACGUCCUGAGGGAGAAAGUGGGGGAUCUUCGGACCUCACGCUAUCAGAUGAGCCUAGGUCGGAUUAGCUAGUUGGUGGGGUAAAGGCCUACCAAGGCGACGAUCCGUAACUGGUCUGAGAGGAUGAUCAGUCACACGGGAGAGAAAACAGAGUGCAGACGAAUACGGGAGCCAGCAGGGGGGAAUAUUGGACAAAGGGCGAAAGAUUGAAACAGCCUUGAAGUGUGUGGGAAGAAGAUUUUCGGAAUGUAUAGCUCUUUAAGUUGUGAGAAAGGACAAUAAGUUAAUAACUUGCUGUCUUGACGUUACCAACAGAAUAAGCACCGACUAACUUCGUG